CUACUAGAGAACUUUGGCCGCAGCUUGUAGACAGCUUAGAUGGGACAACGACCAGGGACAGUGAAGAGGAAUAUCAGUCAGCUGGCUCCCACUGCUACAGCCCGCAGCCACACAGCUGGAAUACCCUCACCCUGGGCAGGGACUGCAGGCUCUCAGUCAGGGGCUGAAGGGCGGCCACGUGCUAGCCAUUGCAAACGCUCAGGGUACAUCCCUGCUGACCUUGCCCAAGACCAUGGAGAGGCAGCUGAGUCCUCAGUUUGAGGAAGACAGGAUAAGAGCCUGCUCCCGCUGGGAGAGCUGCUAGCGGCCAGUGAGAUGGAGAGGCCCGAGGAGGUCGCUGAUCAAUGGAUCACAGACCCUCAAGCUCGGCAGUGGUGGCCCAGGACUUUAAUUCUAGGACUCAGAAGGCAGAGGCAGGCAGAGUUCCAGGCCAACCUGGUGGUCUCCAGAGCAACAGGACAGCCGGGAGUAUGCAGUGAAACCCAACCUCGAAAAGACGAACAAACAAACAAAAAAAAAUUAUCAUAGAUUCUCCAGAACUCUGCCGCUUGACACCAUCGAUGGCUGCUUUCCGCGAGCCUCACUUCUGCCAGGCCUUCCUUAGAAGUUCUAGGGACCUCAGGGACCCAGGCUCUGCUGUGAAGAUCGUGCGCGGGAACAGUCCCGACCUGCC
ensembl:processed_transcript